rnacentral:lncRNA from 1 species
GCAACCUACAUCACAGUUCACGGCAACGCCAGAUCCUUAACCCACUGAGCGAGGCCAGGGAUCGAACCCCACAACCUCAUGGUUCCUAGUCGGAUUCGUUAACCACUGCGCCACGACGGGAACUCCACGCAUAAUAUUGUUUAUAAGUGGAAUCUAAAAAAAUGAUACAAAUCAACUUAUCUACAAAACAGAAAUCGUCUCACAGACAUAGCAAAAAAUCUUAUGGUUACCAAAGGGGAAGAGAUUGGGAAGAAGUAAAUUAGGAGUCUGCAAUUAACAUAUACACGCCACUAUAUAUAAACUAAAUAACCAACAAGGACCUACGAUAUAGCACAGGGAACUACACUGAAUAUUUUGUAAUAGCCUCUAAGGGAAAAUAAUUUUAAAAAGAAUAUGUGUGUGUGUGAGAGAGAGAGAGAAAGACUGAAUCACUGUACUGUACAUCUAAAACUAACAUAACAUUGUAAAUCAACUCUACUUCAAUUUAAGAAAAGAAAAUGAAUAAAGAAUUAAUAGGCAUUCUCUGGUGCAAAGUGGGAGAAGAGCUUGUCAAUAUGUUAGCACAGCAGGGGCAAAGACUUGAAGGCAGAAAAGAGUAUUUUUUUCUUGUAUCUUUGGUGCCUAACUCUUACUUCAAGGCAACAUUUAUCACCUCUAUAAGACAGUCAUAUUAGUUCAGAGUAAGGGGUGCCAGCAUUUUCUAGGGAAAACUAUCUCAUUGUCACUAUCGAACAAGACCCAGCCGGAGAUUUAUCUAUAGAAGUGAACGCCAGCUCAAUGGCCCAACUGUGAAACUAGUUUCUCUUCCCACUAUAUAUAAGAUACUUGAAUUUAAUUUUAUAAAGGAAACAAUCCCUUAACUCUUAAAAGAGAGGGUUGAAUAGAUAAGUGUCAAGCUACGAUUAAUUAUGAAAUGAAUCAAAUGUAAGAAGGUGUGGAAGUUUAAAACACAGAUGUCUAUUUUAAUUCAAGCAUCAAGAAUAGCUCUACAAUACUUUUCUCACUUAUGUAUAUUCUUAUAUUCAUUCAUGCCUGGAAGAAACAGGAGUGGACAUUUAACUAUUGGAUGGGGCAUGUGUAUUCAAAGAACUGUAUCUUCCACCAGGUGAUCUCAAUAGAAAGGCCUCAGAAUUGCUGACCCAUCUCUUACUCUCUGCUCUUCCUUAAAUUUAUGGAGGACUUUGGCACAUUGUCCAGGGACACUUUAGCAGCUCUUAAUUCUUAUAAGUGAUUUUAAGCCCGUUGGGAGAAACUGAUUAUUUCUAUUCAGGAAAUUAGAAGAGAAUAAUAGAACAUGCAAGGGUCUUGCUCUGAGUUAAACACACAUGAUUUAUUUUAAAAAUCACAUUAAGCACCACACUUUGUAACUCAAUGUCAGGGCAGGCUGACUAAUUUUUUUUUUUGAAAAUUGUCACUAUGAAAAAUGUUGGAAGCCAUUUAUAUAAAUGGAGCUAGGCAUGAAAAUUUUUAUAACACCCCUGAUUCCAAUACCGUUUAUAAAAAUAUCAUCUCUUACCAUUUGUGCAGGUUCAAUAAUUUAACAAUAUCAAUAAUCAAUUUUUCACCGACCUAAUCAUUUCCAAGCUUCACUAAGUGUCAUGCCAACCCAUUACAUUUGUUAGAUUCAGAACUGAAAUCCUUUGGCACAUGAACCAUUCUGAGAUAUUCAGCUAAAUUUUGAUCAAUAUAUAAAAUUAUAUUUUGUUACAACGGAGUAGCAAUUGUUACAAUAAAAUAUUUAAUAUCGGAGUUCCCAUUGUGGUGCAGCAAAAACAAAUCAAACUAGUAUCUGUGAAGAUGCAUGUUCGAUCCCUCGCCUUGCUCAGUGGGUUAAGGAUCUGGCAUUGUCAUGAGCUCUCAUCUAGAUCAUAGACCUGGCUCAGAUCCCACAUUGCUGUGGCUUUGGCGAAGGCUGGCAGCUGUAGCUCCAAUUCGACCCUUAGCCUGGGAAUUUCCAUAUGCCGCAGGUGUGGCCCUAAAAAGACAAAAAGCCAAAAAAAAAAAAAAAAGAAAAAAGAAAAAAAAAAAACAAGUAAAAUCAAUUACAGUAGAUUUUACUUAAUCAAAUAUAUCCAAAGUAUUAUCAUGUGAACAUAUAAUCAAUACAAAACUUACUAUGAGGUAUUUGACAUAAUUUUUUCCUUUUAUUCUAAAGUCUUCAAAAUCUGGUGUGUAUUUUACACUUAUAUCACAUUUCGACUUGGACUAACCACAUUCGAAUGCCCACAGUCACGUAUGUGGCUAGUGGUUACCAUAUUGGAAAGCACAGAGUAGGUGCAACAUCCCUCUGAAUGUUCUUACAGGGAAAAGAAAAUGUUGUAUAUUACCUAUUUUAAGAACAAGAAAAAACUUUAUGGCAUGUUAAAAAGUCUUAGAAUUUAGGUCCUAUGUAUUUUUCUUCCUACUUUUUUGCAUAAUACCUAGAGUUAGAAGUGGUAGUCAAGAACAUUGGAGAAAGGUCUUAUAACCAACGGUCCUAUGAAAUUUAGUCCUGAAACUUCAAAACACAGUGAUAAAGUCACAUGAGAACCACAAGACAUAAUUCAUUGGUUAUAGUCCCUCCUGAAUUAAAUAAGAGCUGUUGGCAUUCCUGAAACAUAUUAUGCCAUAGUAGUUUAAGAAUUAAUCUUGGCAGAGCUGUCACUUAUGAUUUAGUUUUCACAGAAUAACUUACUUAACUGUUUCUAAAGUCAGGGUUGGAUUACUAAUAUGCAUCUAGACUUGGAAUUCGUUUUAGGCUUGCUCCUUGCUCACUGAUGCUUUGGCCAAAAAUUGUUUUAAAUUCUCCAGGAUUCCACUGUAAGAGAUACCUUAAAAACAAUGUAGUAAAGCCAAAGAAAAUGAGCUCUUUCCUGAUUCCACAUUAUAUCAGGAAAUCUUAAAACACAUGAGUAUAUACGUGUUAGCUUCCCAAACACUCCCAUCCUUUAAAAAUGGCUUGUGUCAUCAUAACACUAGAACAAAGGAAGAAAGAAUGCUUAUCCUCAAGAAAUGUGCAAUCUAAGAGGCUAUACACCUUAAAUUAAUAUAAUAUUGUAAAUCAACUAUAAUUCAAUCAAUCACUAAAGGUAUAACAAAAUUUAAAAAGCAAAAGGCGGAAAAGCCUGGCAGAACAAGUCAUGACUCAUGGUUUGAUAAUACAGUAAGGAAAUACCUAUUAUUCUUUUUAAAUUGAAGUAUAGUUGAUACAUAAUAUUAUAUUAAAGGUGUACAACAAAGUGAUUCAAUUUUAUGGUUUAUACUCCAUUUAUAGAUAUUAUAAAAUAUUGGCUGUUCUUGUGCUAUACUUUAUAGUCUUAUAUCUUCUUUAUUUUAUACCAGGUUGUUUGUACUUCUUAAUCCUCUUCCUCUAUUUUGCCCCUCCCCUCACUCCUCUGAACUAGUAACCACUAGUUUGUUCUCUGUAUCCACGAGUCUGUUUCUGUUUUGUUAUAUUCAUUUGUUCUAUUUUUCAGAUUAUACUUAUGAAUGUAAACAUACACUCUUUGUCUUUCUCUGUCUGACUUAUCUCAGUAACCAUAAUAACCUCCAGAUCCAUCAUGUUUUUGCAAAUGUGUGUAUAUUACAUCUUCCUUAUCUGUUCAUCUGUUGAUGGACACUUAGGUUGCUUCCAUAUCUUGACUACUGUAAAUUAUGCUGCUAUGAAACAUUGGGUGCAAAUUCUUUUCAAAUUAGCAUUUUCAUUUUUUUUUUGGAUGUAUACUUAGGAGUGGAAUUGCUGCAUCAUAUUGCUACAUCCAUACUGUUUUCCAUAAUAACUGUAUAAGUUUACAUUCCUACCAACAGAGUACUAGGGUUGCUUUUUCUCCAUGUCCUCAUCAGCAUUUAUUAUUUGUUGUCUUUUCAAUGAUAGCUAGUCUGACAGGUGUGAGGGGAUGUAGUUUGAUUUGAGUUUCCCUGAUAAUUAAUGGUGUUGAGCAUUUUUCCAUGUGCCAAUUGGCCCUCUGUAGGCCUUCUUUAGACAUUUUCUCAUACCAUAUUCCAAAAUAAACUCAAAAUGUAUUAAAGACCUAAAUGGAAGACCAGAAACCAUUAAACUCCUGGAAGAAAACACAGGUAGUGUACUUUUUGAUAUGUCUUAGUGAUUGAGUAUUGAAUCUAUCUCCUCAGGCAAGGGAAACAAACAUAAAAAUAAACAAGUGGAACAUAAACAAACUUAAAAGCUUUUACACAGAGAAGGAAACCAUCAAUAAAGUGAGAAGGCAGCCUACUGAAUGGGAGAAGUAUUUUCAAAUGACACAUCUUUUAAGGGGUUGAUGUCCAAAAUAUACAAAGAGCUCCUACAAUUCAAUUUCAAAAAAAGCAAACAACUGAAUAGAAAAAAUGAGGAAAAGACCUGAAUGGCUAUUAUUCUUUACAGCAUCUCUGGUACUUAGCAAGUGCUCUGUAAAUAUCCACUGAAGGAAGGAUAAAGUUCUUUCAACGGAUGUUCACGGUACAGCA